CUAGGAGUGCCAGAUGUUACUGGACACAUCCAAUGAGGCGGAUAAUAUUUUAUUUGGUGCUGGGACGCGGUGGACGCAGGUUCAUUACACCGUUCUCUCCACUACCUGUCUGGCUUGCUUAUCUAACUUUCAGUUCAUUCAUCAAAGAUGUCAUGGUCACGGUUCAUGGCGGUGGGGUUGGUGGUGGUGGUAGUGUCAUACAAGGUGAAGGAGAUGAUGGAGGAGCCUCCACUUCCCCACCUUGAACCUGACCCUUGGUGGGGGCCAGGGGAACCACAGGACGAAGAUGUCUCCAUCAAUCGUUUCAGCAUUAACAUUUCUGACGAGGACUUGCGAGAUUUUAAGGCUCGCCUGGCACUGCCUCUGAGACUGACUCCAGCUCUGGAAGGUGCCAAUUUCACAUAUGGUAUGAACUCUGACACCUUGCAAAAAAUUGUGAAGUAUUGGAGGGAGAAAUACGACUGGAGGGAGAGAGAGGCAAGACUCAACUCUUACCCCCAU